AGCAAGUUUUACAAUUCAAAAUGAUGAGAUAGAGUGCAUUUGGCUCGAGACGUUUUUAUAUGUUAUGUAUAAUUAUCUGUCGGUGUGGAAAAAACCCUAGCUACCUUAAUUUUUAUCGUCUGAAU